AUUUUAGCGAUGAAUGCCUCGGCUCGGGUUACGAUGAA
rnacentral:rRNA from 1 species